GGCCACCUCGAGUAGUGGCGGACGGGUGAGUAACACGUGGGAACGUGCCUUUAGGUUCGGAAUAACUCAGGGAAACUUGUGCUAAUACCGAAUGUGCCCUUCGGGGGAAAGAUUUAUCGCCUUUAGAGCGGCCCGCGUCUGAUUAGCUAGUUGGUGAGGUAGUGGCUCACCAAGGCGACGAUCAGUAGCUGGUCUGAGAGGAUGAUCAGCCACAUUGGGACUGAGACACGGCCCAAACUCCUACGGGAGGCAGCAGUGGGGAAUCUUGCGCAAUGGGCGAAAGCCUGACGCAGCCAUGCCGCGUGAAUGAUGAAGGUCUUAGGAUUGUAAAAUUCUUUCACCGGGGACGAUAAUGACGGUACCCGGAGAAGAAGCCCCGGCUAACUUCGUGCCAGCAGCCGCGGUAAUACGAAGGGGGCUAGCGUUGCUCGGAAUUACUGGGCGUAAAGGGAGCGUAGGCGGACAUUUAAGUCAGGGGUGAAAUCCCGGGGCUCAACCUCGGAAUUGCCUUUGAUACUGGGUGUCUUGAGUAUGAGAGAGGUGUGUGGAACUCCGAGUGUAGAGGUGAAAUUCGUAGAUAUUCGGAAGAACACCAGUGGCGAAGGCGACACACUGGCUCAUUACUGACGCUGAGGCUCGAGAGCGUGGGG
rnacentral:rRNA from 1 species